CCUCUCAACUGUUUCUCACAGGUUUGUUCAGCUGGGACAAAGUCAACACAAGCAAGAUAAGAGCAGCCAGCAAUUUUGUUCCAAACAUCAGUUGGAUAGGGUUAUAAAUUUAAUACCGAUCUCCUCCUUUUCUCAAGAUAAUAUUUAUGAAGUCCAGCCUCCGAGAGUUGAUAGGAAAUCAAUAGAAAUUUUUCAUGCACACAUUCAGGCUGGAAAAGGAAACAUGCAGCCCUUGGGAAAAGAUGACUUCCUCAUGUACAGAGAGUACAUUCGAAACAGAUACCUCUAAAUACAAGCUGGAUUCUCACGUCGAGUCUACAGUAGUGAUUGCUUGUGAAAAUAAUUUUAGAAAGGAGCUCCAGUUUUGUUAUUUUGUAAUAAUAAAGUUAUUUUCUUAAAUUUAUUAUCUUAUUGGUUUGCUGUUACACAUUUAUAGUAUUGUGCUUUAUAUGAAAAACAGUGAUUUAAUACUUUUCUUCAGCUGAAAGAGAAACAUCUGUCUUAAGACAUUAAGUGAAUAAUCAGAGUACUUGUAGUUGCUGGAAAGUAUAUAGUGAUUUAUGGCAGAGAAAUUACAUUUUUAGGGUUUUAUCCUAAUUUCUUACAUUCUUAUAUUUGCUAAUGAAGUUGAAGUGAUUUGUACAUACAAAGAGAAUGUUUUCUUCCUCUCUUCCAUUACAGGAAACAACCCAACCAAGCGUUUUCUGAUGUUUCUUGAGAUUUUUAGCAAAAUGAGUGCUUGUACUUUGCUGCUUUCUUAAACAAAAGAAAAAAUUAUGUCAAAAUCGAAAUUUGCCUGUAGACUAAUAAGUCUGCUUAUGUCAAAACUAACCUUUCCAAUGCUAGUGGCUACAGAAUCCAUGCUAUAGAGAGGGUGAAAACGGCUUGUGACGAAUUAUUGUGGGCUUCUAGUAGGACUCUGAGGUGAGCCUCAGUGACUACAUCAUAAAUGAGGGAGCACUAUUUGGACUUUGGUGGGAGAUCCAAGAGCACCCUGUCACUUUACUGUAUGACAGGUGUCACCCCCCUUUGCACCAGAUUUUUUCCCCGUAUGUGUGCUUCUGUAAGGUGCUUUCAGGUUCAAACCUACAACCUUCCCCAGGAAACCAGUAAGUGGUGUAUAGAGCCUGGAUUAGCUGAGAUGGUCAGACACAGCGGGUGGGUUUAGGCAACAUCAUGUCCAGCACUAGGUAGGAAUGAAGAGAAGCAGGUAUCUGAAGUAGGCUGUUUGAUUUGGCCUUGUGAUCAAAAUGUUUCUCAAAUAGGAAAAAUAAAAUUUAAAAACCCUAUGAUUUGUAAUUACAAGCUAAAAUUCCCAACACUGUUUUCUCGUCUUCUGUCUUGAAGAACACUGACAGCAACAGCAGCAUCCUUGACAGAUGAUGUUAUUCCACGUGCUUUUACAAUCUGUAUGUCAGGAUUUUCUGGAAUAACUCCAAAUAACUUAUCUUGGGAAUGUCAGCCAACUGCAUGUACUAGAUGUAGAGAACAUGUUUGUGUUUGUAGUUAAUUGCUUGCAGGCCGCUGCCCCAGAUUUUUGGCUGCAUGCUGCAAGCAUAUUUCGCAUAUGUUUGCAUAUCUCCUGCAGUAAGUAGCACUUCUGUCAGUAAUUUGACAAAAGAAGAGAUACACUGGAUAAAGGGAAAAGACUUAGGUUGCUUGUGCAGCCUGUGUAUUUCACUGUGUGGACAGUGGGAGAAUGUGGUACCUUAGGCUACCAAAAGAUGACUGUGUCCAUUUCCAUUCACUGUUGUUAAUUGAUUAGUAUCACCAAGACAAGUCCAAUUGUACCAAAGAUUCCAGAGAUGCUGCCUGUAAGUCUGCCUACUUUAUUCUGUUCUUGUGAUAAUAAGAUUCAGUUCUCAGCCAUGUUAACAGUUCUCAAGAGAUGCAUGUUUCUCUUUCAUAAACUGAGGAAAGUAUGUGUAAAAUUAGUAUAAAUACAAAAGGAAUGGACUGUAUUGGCUGUGAAGAGUAACAUGGUCUCUUCUGACUUUAUUUAGUAAUGAUCUAAUUUAAUAUUAUGCUAUAUGGACAGAUACCACAUUUCUCAGAUACGUAUAUUUUUUUUUCACCUAAAAUUUUGCUUGCUUCAGUGUUUCUGAAGGGUACAUUGAAAUAAAAUACCAAGAUGUUCACACAGA